CAGAUAUUUUUGAAAAGAGCAUUCAGAUGUAAAAUGCUGUAUUGACCCUGGAGCGUGACAUUAAUAGAGUGAGAAACAUGGUUGUUGGGCAGAUUCAGUAAAUAUCUUAGAGUUUCUCUCAUGUGCACCAUCUGUGGACCGUGGAGAAAAUAAUGCUAGGUGCAUUCUAGGAUCCAAAGGGUAAAACAUUACACUUGGGUAAAGAGGUUUUGUGUACUUAUUAUAAAACAGCUGUAGCC
rnacentral:lncRNA from 1 species